rnacentral:misc_RNA from 1 species
CGGCACCAGAGGCGGAGUGAGG